UGUCAUGGGGGCUUUGGCUACCUGUUGUCACGGAGUCUCCUGCUUCGUCUGCGGCCACAUCUGGAUGGCUGCCGAGGAGACAUUCUCAGUGCCCGUCCUGACGAGUGGCUUGGACGCUGCCUCAUUGACUCUCUGGGCGUCGGCUGUGUCUCACAGCACCAGGGGCAGCAGUAUCGCUCAUUUGAACUGGCCAAAAAUAGGGACCCUGAGAAGGAAGGGAGCUCGGCUUUCCUGAGUGCCUUCGCCGUGCACCCUGUCUCCGAAGGUACCCUCAUGUACCGGCUCCACAAACGCUUCAGCGCUCUGGAGUUGGAGCGGGCUUACAGUGAAAUAGAACAACUGCAGAACUGUCCCAAGAAAGCCCAAGGGUAGAAGGGAGAAUUCUCAAGUUGAACGUCAGGCUUGGCAGAGGUGGAGUGUAGAUGAAAACAAAGGUGUGAUUAUGAAGAGGAUGUGAGUCCUUUGGGUGUAGGAGAGAAAGGCUGUUGAGCUUCUAUUUCAAGAUACUUUUACCUGUGCAAAAAGCACAUUUUCCACCUCCUUCUCAUGGCAUUUGUGUAAGGCUCAGAUCCGGAACCUGACCGUGCUGACCCCCGAAGGGGAGGCAGGGCUGAGCUGGCCCGUUGGGCUCCCUGCUCCUUUCACACCACACUCUCGCUUUGAGGUGCUGGGCUGGGACUACUUCACAGAGCAGCACACCUUCUCCUGUGCAGAUGGGGCUCCCAAGUGCCCACUACAGGGGGCUAGCAGGGCGGACGUGGGUGAUGCGUUGGAGACUGCCC
rnacentral:lncRNA from 10 species